AGAUUGAACGCUGGCGGCAUGCCUUACACAUGCAAGUCGAACGGCAGCAUGAUCUAGCUUGCUAGAUUGAUGGCGAGUGGCGAACGGGUGAGUAAUACAUCGGAACGUGCCCUGUAGUGGGGGAUAACUAGUCGAAAGAUUAGCUAAUACCGCAUACGACCUGAGGGUGAAAGUGGGGGACCGCAAGGCCUCAUGCUAUAGGAGCGGCCGAUGUCUGAUUAGCUAGUUGGUGAGGUAAAGGCUCACCAAGGCGACGAUCAGUAGCUGGUCUGAGAGGACGAUCAGCCACACUGGGACUGAGACACGGCCCAGACUCCUACGGGAGGCAGCAGUGGGGAAUUUUGGACAAUGGGCGAAAGCCUGAUCCAGCAAUGCCGCGUGUGUGAAGAAGGCCUUCGGGUUGUAAAGCACUUUUGUCCGGAAAGAAAUGGCUCUGGUUAAUACCUGGGGUCGAUGACGGUACCGGAAGAAUAAGGACCGGCUAACUACGUGCCAGCAGCCGCGGUAAUACGUAGGGUCCAAGCGUUAAUCGGAAUUACUGGGCGUAAAGCGUGCGCAGGCGGUUGUGCAAGACCGAUGUGAAAUCCCCGAGCUUAACUUGGGAAUUGCAUUGGUGACUGCACGGCUAGAGUGUGUCAGAGGGGGGUA
rnacentral:rRNA from 1 species